ACUUAAAUUGAAGAGUUUGAUCAUGGCUCAGAUUGAACGCUGGCGGCAGGCCUAACACAUGCAAGUCGAGCGGUAGCACAGAGAGCUUGCUCUCGGGUGACGAGCGGCGGACGGGUGAGUAAUGUCUGGGAAACUGCCUGAUGGAGGGGGAUAACUACUGGAAACGGUAGCUAAUACCGCAUAACGUCGCAAGACCAAAGUGGGGGACCUUCGGGCCUCAUGCCAUCAGAUGUGCCCAGAUGGGAUUAGCUAGUAGGUGGGGUAACGGCUCACCUAGGCGACGAUCCCUAGCUGGUCU
rnacentral:rRNA from 2 species